rnacentral:tRNA from 2 species
AGGGGUAUAGCUCAGGGGUAGAGCAUUUGACUGCAGAUCAAGAGGUCCCUGGUUCAAAUCCAGGUGCCCCCU